rnacentral:lncRNA from 10 species
CGGGGAGGAGGUGCAGGGCAUUGCCAGAGCGGGCCUGUCCAUGGGCAAGGGAUAGCGACCUCCUGGGCCAGGACAUGUGACAGCUGCGCAGGCCUGGGCCCGGCGUGGCGGAGGUGCGCGAGAGCGGCCAGAAGAGGGCGCCAGAGUGCCAGGAGCCGCCCGCGGAGGAGCCCGCACCGGCCCCGAUACCCAGCUCCGCGCCACGCGGACCCACCGAGCCCGCGCUCAGACGCCCCAGCUCCGCCGAGAGGCCGCUCGCGCCGUGUCCUUCCUCUUCCCCAAGUUCAGGCAGAGCCCCCGGAGCCAUGGCCAGCCCUUCCAGCAGCUCCGAAGACACUGGCAAGCCCCGAGGCAGGGAUGGCCGGCCCAGAAGGGAGGAGGAGGAGGACGUCCCUCCCGAAGAGAAGAGGCUGGGGCUGUAGCUGGAGGGGGGAAGCGCACAGCCCGAGGACUGCGAGGACAGGGAGGACCCGCCGCUGCCGGGCACGAAGGAGACCGGCACCCAGACAGGUGGCGACGGCAAAGGAGCAGCAUGGGCAGCCCUCCUCGCCAUGGGCAGGAUCAGAGCCCCCCCGCCCAGUCUUGGGGUUGCUCCUGGAUGCUGUCUGGGAGGCUUGCUCAUGGUGACAUCCUCAUCUCCCCGUCCACGUUACCGCAUUCAGAGCUUGGGUCACCUGGACACUGAACUCAGGUGAAUUUUCUCUGAGAUCCCGGGAGAAGGAGGACAGUUCUUUGGAAGGUUUUCCAGGGCCGAUCACGGAAAGGAUGAGAAGGGAGAGGUCCUGGUCGGGGACACAAUUAUGGUGGCAGUGUAACGCCGGGAAACUUUAUUGCAUGAAGUCCCUCUCACUCCCUCUACCUCCCUCUUUUACGUGGACUCUGCCAAAGACCAGGAUACCAGAAUGCGGUGGAGAGGCCAAGUGUAGUGAGA